rnacentral:rRNA from 1 species
GACAGAGGAUGCAAGCGUUGUCCGAAGUUACUGGGCGUAAAGCGCGCGUAGGCGGGUUGGUAAGUCCGCUGUGAAAGCCCGGAGCUUAACUCCGGAGGGUCGGUGGAUACUGCCAGUCUUGAAGGUGCUAGGGGGAGAUGGAAUUACCGGUGUAGCGGUGAAAUGCGUAGAUAUCGGUAGGAACACCAGUGGCGAAGGCGGUCUCCUGGGGCAUUCUUGACGCUGAGGCGCGAAAGCUGGGGGGGCGAACGGG